GACGAACGCUGGCGGCGCGCUUAACACAUGCAAGUCGAACGGAAAGGCCUGCUUUCCCUUGUGGAUUGCGGGUACUCGAGUGGCGAACGGGUGAGUAACACGUGAGUGAUCUGCCCCCAACUUGGGUAUAAGCCUGGGAAACUGGGUCUAAUUCCCGAUAGGACUGCAGGGUGGUGCCGGUGGUGGAACACGAUUUGCUAGUGGGUGGGGAUGAGCGCGCGGCCUAUCAGCUUGUUGGUGGGGUAAUGGCCUACCAAGGCGGCGACGGGUAGCCGGCCUGAGAGGGUGGACGGCCACAUUGGGACUGGGUUACGGCCCAGACUCCUACGGGAGGCAGCAGUGGGGAAUAUUGCACAACGGGCGGUAGCCUGAUGCAGCGACGCCGCGUGGGGGAUGACGGCCUUCGGGUUGUAAACUCCUUUCGACCGCGAGGAAGCCACCUGGUUGGAAGGGUGGUGACGGUAGUGGUAGAAGAAGCACCGGCUAACUACGUG
rnacentral:rRNA from 1 species